CCGCGCACAAGUGUGGGCCGGACGGAGGGAGCCGGGAAGCGACGAGCGCGCCGGGAGCGCAGCUGCGGGCGUGAGGGCGGCAGGAGCCGUGAAGCCGGCCCGAGAGCGGGGCUGGGCGGCUGAGGCAAAGGCGACGAUUUAAGAGAUGGUGCUGAUUCAGACGUGCGCACAGUGACACAGGUGCUAAAUGCAGUGCUGGAGGGAGUACAGAUCUGUGGAACCUGUUGCAGAAGCACUUUGGCAAUGUCACAGAGCAGAACUUAGUACUUCCGAGAAAAUGAAUGCUGAACCCUUACGAAGAGAUAAAGGUUAUUUGGUACAUAUUGGUGGUCUCUGCCCUUCAGUAUCUGAGGCUGAUUGAAGGUCUCAUUUCCAGAAAUACCAAGUUUCUGAAAUUUCAAUUUAUGAUUCUUCUACUAAUUACAGGUUUUGCCGUGACAGUAGGUAACAACAAGGCUUCCAGGCUCUCUUCAACGCCUCCAAGCUCCCUUCUCCAAACCCAAAAGGAAGAAGAAAACUACAAAUCCCCAUCUGCCCGCCCUGCAGUUCUUGGGAAGAGACGGUCCUCAAAUUGUUCCUGCUUAGACCCCUGAAGCCUGGAGAAGGAGAUGGGGACAGGGGUGCCAGCGGGCGAGGAAGGACGUCCAAUAAGGGGGAGGAAAUUUGGCCGAGGGGACAGACGGGAGCGGAGAUAAACCGAACUGCAAAGAAAUGUCAAGCACAUGAACACAGCUAGACAACAAUCCAAGGCAAGAUGAAUGCCAGAAGAUUUUGGCAUCCUGGAAAAAACUCACCAUGGACUUUGGUUAUUCAGAAUUAGCUACUUCUUCUGUAAGGCUAUCAGUAUUCUGGAUUAACAGAAGAAAAUAGCCACCCGACCUCCAGAUGAUUUUCCACCUGUGCCUGGCAAGACUGGGGAAAACCCUGGGGCUACACUCGGGUGUCUGAUGACUGAGGGUUUCACAGAAGAGGCCUCUCCUGACUCAGCUUGGAGGGACUCGUCUGUCAGGAACAGCGUGAGCCUAGGAAACCUUCACCAUGGACUUUGUGUUAGAUCAUGAGUCCCGGCAUUUGGCAACAACUGAAACAUAUCUCUAAAUCUUACAGAUUAUAGUACUAAGUUUAAAAUCUAGGCCUUAAAAAUACAGUAAACGUUAAAGCUUCUGGGAUUCCUAAAAUCUCCUUGCCUGGACCUUUCCUGUCCCCUAAGGGAAGAGAAUGAGUGAGGGAAGCUCAUUCUCAGCACUUCACUGUGUUCCAUGAUUGCAACUGAGCCCUGUGAAUCUCCUCUUUCUCCACCUCCACACCUCCUUUCACAGCCCCCUCAGUCCUCCCUUUCCUUGACAAACCCAAGUAAACCCCACAGUUGCCAUCAAAGCUUAUUCUGCGAAGAUCCACUUCCAGUUAGUCUGGGGUCAGUGAGGCGCCUAGAAUGAGAUGGUUUUCAGAAUUACACUACCGACAGAAUAUAUUUUGAACAUGUUUUAAAAGGUAUUCUUGAAUAUCCUACUUCUUCACACUAUUACUUAUAAUAGUUCCAGACUUUGCUCCAAGAAAAUAAAUAAAAAAUGAUGCCAGUAUUCAAAUUUAAAGAAAACUGAAGGAAAAUCAGUUGGUUCUGUAUAAACUUAGAUGUAAAACUAAAAGAUAAUAAAAAUUACAAUUAAGAAA